rnacentral:lncRNA from 1 species
UUGUGGCGACGCAGCGCACAGCAAAUAAUUAUCGGCACGUCACUGUAACUGCUUGCAAGGCGUCGAUGCGCCGUGGUGGACAGCGAUGCUGAGGAGUGCAUAUCGGAGCAGACAUUUGAGAA